AUUGAACGCUGGCGGCAGGCCUAACACAUGCAAGUCGAACGGUAACAGGAAGAAGCUUGCUUCUUUGCUGACGAGUGGCGGACGGGUGAGUAAUGUCUGGGAAACUGCCUGAUGGAGGGGGAUAACUACUGGAAACGGUAGCUAAUACCGCAUAACGUCGCAAGACCAAAGAGGGGGACCUUCGGGCCUCUUGCCAUCGGAUGUGCCCAGAUGGGAUUAGCUAGUAGGUGGGGUAACGGCUCACCUAGGCGACGAUCCCUAGCUGGUCUGAGAGGAUGACCAGCCACACUGGAACUGAGACACGGUCCAGACUCCUACGGGAGGCGGCAGUGGGGAAUAUUGCACAAUGGGCGCAAGCCUGAUGCAGCCAUGCCGCGUGUAUGAAGAAGGCCUUCGGGUUGUAAAGUACUUUCAGCGGGGAGGAAGGGAGUAAAGUUAAUACCUUUGCUCAUUGACGUUGCCCGCAGAAGAAGCACCGGCUAACUCCGUG
rnacentral:rRNA from 1 species